rnacentral:lncRNA from 1 species
AGACGAGGCGCUUGGAUAUUGCCUACCGCGACCAAAUGGACCCAUGGACUCAUUAGAUGAUGAGUCUGGACCCUGGUGUGUGUAAAGCCCACCUCAGCUCGAUCCAUAUUCGAUCGAUACUACAAAGAAGGUGGAUAUGAGGUAAAGGUAGAGUAAGCUCCAAGUCAUGUGGAGGUCAGUCGAGAUUGAACACACGUUCAUAGAAUCAUAGUAUCAAAUUCAAGUCCAAAUUUUAACACUACGAAACCGAAAAGCAUUGUUUCAGUCCAACAACCCAAACUUCCUUAAAAAAACUAAGACAAAAACGACGACACUAGGAAACGGAAAAACAUGCAACUCAGAAAACCAUUACUCUAGUCCAAAUGAGGUUCCUCAAUGCCUCAAGCUUUUAUAAAACACCAUAGCCUGAACCUUUUCCUUUGCGCCUUCUUUGCUUCACCAGAAACGUUCUUAAUGAGCUCCUCUUCAAAUUUGGGACGAGCAGGCAUUAGGCUGUGCACAAUGCUGUAAACGCCCCUAGCCCUUGCCACACCCUAGGUGCGUACGCGUGCAUGUCCGACCUGAGUUAUCUUAUUACGCGCGCAGUUUGAUCUUCCCGUAUUGACAUCCCUGCUGUCUAUUCUCCUGCGAAUCCUUCUGCUGGUGACUUCAUCCGAGUCCAUUUUCUUGCUCCUCAGUGCAUGUUCAUCUGCUUUUCCCUGUUAAUAAAUAUAGGAAUCCCAUAACAAACAGCAUUUGACAAAACAGAACGUAAUAAUAACAACAAAACUUGACUCCAUCCUCAGUGCAUGUUCAUCUGCUUUUCCACUUCAAAGCAGCUGACGGCACGAUUCGUACUUGGACUCCAAAAUGUCUAGAUUAUGGAGAAACCAGCCUUCUAUCCAAAACACACAAAGAAGUGUAUUUUCCGUUUAUACCAAUUAAGUGUGUUGAAGCAUGUCCCACAUGGCCACAUAGGAAACUUGUUGAGGUUUAAAUCCUCUUAUAUAGAAAGUUCGACUACUAAUUGCCUUGAGGCCUUAAUUCUGUAUAAAACCAUACCUAUUGAAUUGCACACGUGCUUAAGUUAAGGUCAGUAUUGAUGGUAAUUAGUAGUGGGCUGCUGGGCCGUCUUAAAAAAACUGGUACAAAGGGCAAUUUAUAGAAGCAGUGUUGAGAUAAGGGCAAUUCAUCUGUUCUUUUUAGAAGGAUAUAUAUGAAUGAAGCAAGGUUUAUCUGCUAAUGCGGCUCAGCCCUUUAUCAAAAAGUGAAAGAUCAAAAUUACUUUUACAGCAAGAGCAAUACCAGAAGAUGUAAUCUAAAUUAUUUAUAUUUGGUUCCCUUGAAAUCCUUUUGACUGCUUCAACAUACUAUAUGCAGACAGAACCAGAACCAAGUCCAGACUCACUCGUAAUAGGUCUCCUCAUCCACAACAAUAUCCCAGCUUUCCCUUGUCGUGGUUUUCCCAUAUUUGUGCACCUUACUGCAAAGAGAGAGCAAGUUAACUUGUCAAAGAAAAACCAGAACAAUAGAUGCCAAUGCAGUUCAAAAAGUUUAUUUCCCUUCAUACCCAUUUCCGAAGUGCUCUUCUCCCCAUGUCCUUGACCAACCUAGACAUGAGAGAACAAAAACAGAGUUACAUCAGAUUAAAUUAUUGAAAGAAAAAGGUUCACUUCUGUUGUAACAAAUCGACAUUAGAAUCAAGCAACCACGCUAUGAAAUACAAAUUUAAAAUGUAACAAUUUACUGUGUCUAAAAGGAAUCUUGAAAUAAAAUAGUUAAACCCUAAACAGCACCACUGCAAAUAGCAUAAGAAAAUUAAAAUUAACCCUAAAGAAAUUGGGAGAGAAGAAUAUGAAAAGGGAAUACCUUUCGGCCCCUUUGAGUUAUUGGAAAAAACCCAACAGAGCAAAAGAUAAACAAAAAUACAGGCGGAAAGAAAAUAAAUUUUCAACUUGUAAGAUUCAUACGCGAACAGAUUGGUGGUCAAAAGCAUUUCGGAAUUCAGAGCCAUCAAGCUUUUUGAUCUGCAUGGAAAUUAUUUAUGAAGUUUGAGAUUCUUAUAGACGCUUUAGACACAUCGACAUAUUGAGAAAGCAAUAUUCAACAACCUAGUACCCAUGCUCCAUAGAAGGUUGAGAAAAUAUGAAUGUCUGGACUCUGGAGUGAGAAAGUAAAAGGACUUACCGCAUACUUCAUAUCUUCUAACUUUGUGUAGUCUACAAUCCCUGUUGUGCCUACAAAAAAGGCAUAGGACAAAAGCUAAAUCAAUCGAAAUUCUGAUGUCAUGAUCUAGGUCUUAGGAUUAAACUAUUGAAAUAACACUAUAUGAAAUAGCAGUGUAUAUCCCAAAAAAAGUAUGAAAUCUGGUUGAUAAUUGCAGAGUUCGAAGGGAUUUACCUUUGGAUUCUUCGGCUUUCAGAUGGAGUUUGCUUAUGUAUGGGAGAGAGAGGUGGAGCGGCUAGGGUUUGAGUAUGGAAGAGAUGAAAAAUGGAGAGAACACCUGUUUUGGCUGCAGCAACUCACACACUCCGGACAAAUCUGCAAAUGUCUAAAGGGGGGAAAAUAUAAAAAGAAACCUUAACAACUGAAUUCAAAGAAACAUUAUUACAUUGUAAAUAGCAUUUCACAAAAAAAAUAAAAUAAAAUAAAAUAUACUAAACUAAACUAAUUACACUCGGAUUGCAAUGCUAUCAUUUAAUAAUAGGAAUUCCCAUAACUUAGCAGAAGAUCCUGCAUCUGCAAAGGAUCCUUUAAAACCUAUUUUUUUUAACAACCCCACACCUGCAACACAUCCAGUCAAGGUAAACCAAUAGCACCCUCAUGCAGAGCUCUUCUGUGCAUAUAUACCCCUUAUAAGUAAUCUUAAUCAAUCAGUUAUCAUGAAUAUACAACUUAUAUUAAUUUUCUACAAUAUCCAACACACAAAUAUAACAGAAGAGGAAACUUUUACUUAAGCAGCACAAAAUGAUAUCCUCUGCAUUUCAUUCCAAAAUCCAUCACUCUUAUGUCUUUGCCUGCACAGUUUUUGCUCCAACAUAGCCUGCAAUGAUGAUAUAGCACUAUCAAUAAUUAAGACAUAAAGAAAGGCUAUCCUAGCUAGGUAUUAUGAUUGGAGUAAACCAACAACACCAUAAGUAAAGUAGCAGACCAAAUUUUUUUUAGAAUUGAUGUCUUAACAUGUUUAAGUAGCAAAAAGAUUACAACACAUUGGAUGUGUUAACACGUCCAUAAGCUGAUGACUCCCUCUCCGGUUUACCACAUCAUUCUUAAUGUACUCAACAAUGCAGCAGCAAUUAAAAGUCCUUGGAAAAUGCCAAGCUACUACAAUGACAUAACGAAAACUAUAUCUCACCUUACACCCUUGUUGGCAUAGACAACAUAUCCGUCCUUGUUCGGGGUGAAUCAUAAUCCUGAAUUCAAUUAUCAUCAUCGUCGAGAAUGUCAAACUGUAAAUCAACCAUGCAUGGAACAAAACUUAGAAAUUAAACAAUUAUCAAAGCUUAUGAAGAAUGCUAAACCCAACUAAUUCGAAACAUAAAGUAACCCGAAAGAGAGAAAACUUAUAAAUUUUACAUAAAUUAUAAUCCUUAACAGAAGGAUGGAACAAAACAGGUUCAUUCUUAAGAAUAGAUGUAACUAGUAAUAGGCCUGCGCGCUGCUGCGGGACUUGAAUGCACCAGCCUUAACAACAUGAAUAAGACACAUUUAACAUGAAAAAAAUUCAACAUAAUCAUGAACGAACAAAAAGGAUAGCUGAGUGAACAGUGUUCGUAAGUAAAACAGCUUAGUUUUUAUAUACAUUCAACCAAGCUGAUUACAAAAGAUGUGAUUGUAAAAAAUGUUCUGCUUACCUGAGAAACAAAAGCAACAUGCAUUUUACACAUACAAGACAUCUGAUAUUAAACCUAAAAUCAUGUAAUUCUGUAUGAAGUGGAGAAUAAUGCAGAAAGAUGGUUUUCUAUAGUGCUGCCAAUGACAAUUAAUUUCUCAUGAAAAAAAAGAAAAGAGAAACACAGGUAUAAAAGAAUAUUAUUUUUUAUAGUUGCAAACAUUAUGAAUUCCAAAAAGAAAAACUACAGAUAACACUUCAAUCACAGAUCUAAGCAUCUAAAACGUGGCAACCCAGAUACCAUUCAAGACAUUGCUCAGCAUCAUGGAUAAACUAACCUAUCUGUGUCCCUGUGCUCACUGCAUGUCAUAUACACCCGACCAACUGGGCAUAGGAGCAUAAUGAGGAAAACUUUCAGCACCAUUUUGUACCUGAAAAAUGAGGGAGGAACUAAUUAAAGCGUUCCUCACUUAGAAUAAAUAAUGCAUGCAUAAUAGCCAAAUGGACAUUGCGCAUAUAAAUUGUUGUGGCAAUAACUUGCAAUAGAAAACGUAGUUAAAAAUAAGAUAUACGAAAUACCAACAUUGCAAUGGUAUUUUUUUUUUCCAUUCGAUUGUACUGAAGCAUGCAUCUUAAAUUAGGUACUACGUGAGGUCUCUAUAAUGAAAUGGGAGAUUGAAUACACUUGACGAAACUGAAAAUUCAAAUAUGCACACGCUCCAUAGUGUAUCUUCACAACCAAAAGAAACGUUUAUAUAUACGACAUAUGUUUGACAUUGUUUUUCCCCACUCAAAUCGUCUUGAGAAAAUUUGACUACUAAAAACUACAAAACUUUGAUUAAAGAAUCAAAUAGAAUAGCAUGAGAAAGUUAUUAUUACACCAUACCUGACUUUUUUGCAUAUAAAAACACCUGUAUUUCACCUGAUUUUGUAAUGAAAUACAGAUGCUUGUAGUUCACCAGUACAUAGCUGCCUGUCAUUUGUUGUCUUCUUCGGGUUCAAGAUCCUUAUAUUGUCUGAGACGUGAAAGAAUCAGAAAUUGUAUACAGUUUGAUAAUGAAACAUGUAAUGUGAUUAUGUGACAACAAUGCACUCCUCUCUCUCAGAGAGAUAAACAAAGAUAUCAAAAACAGAGAGGCAAUGUUAAGAUAAACAGAAAGGCAAUGUCACAUUGUUUUGCAUGAUCUUGAAAAUUGGGGAUAAGGUAUUCAAAGUGCUAACAAACACGUGCAAAUGGGGAUAAAAAAGGGGAUAAAUUGAAAAAUAUAUAUGCUCUUAAUCGAGAACUUCAUCAAAUAAACAAUAAAAUCUAAUGUAAUCUGUCCAAAACCAAAGAGAGUGAUAAUUUGGAGGCACUAUAAUGUCUUGGGCAUCGCAUACUUGCGGUAUAUGAUUGAUGCAUCUGUUGCUCAAUCAAAUCAUUUGCUUGGCUAAAAAAGUUAUUUUUACAAUAAAUAGAUUCGCAUCCAAUUUAUGAGAAAUCAUGCAAAAGUAAAUGUAAAUGAUAACGGAAUCAUGAAUGCGAAUAAGAAACACAUACAUGCCAAAAAGAAAACCUACUAUAGUGUGUCAAGUUACUUGCAACAUAAUUUUUUAUGCCAUUAUCCAUUUCGCAAUACUUUAAAAAAAUUUCGUUUGAAAAAGCUUUGCUAUGAUUUUUAGGUUUGGGAAAAAUAAUACCAUAAAAAUUAAAAAACAAUUACUAAAAAUCAUGGCCUGUUAAUAGCAAAAUACACUCCUCAACAAUGUAUAUGAACAUGUGAGUUGAAAAUUUGAAAUAUUCAACAACUAAAAGAAAGAAGCAAAAUCAGAAGAAAAGAAAGAGAUACUCACUCAAAAAUAAAGAUGUAAUAAUGCCAGGCUUCUUCUCCUCGGCAUCCAGAAUUCCAUUGUUGUCUCCAUCUUCAACCUUCAAUGUAUUUAAAAUAUGAAAUGGAAAAAACCCAGAAGAAAUCAUUACAUAAAAUAAAAUUAUCCAAGUAAAAUUAAAGGAUGGAUAGAAAAGAAAUGAAGGCAGUUUAUUCGGACUUAAUUAGAGACUUACUGAAUAAGCUUGAAAUCUAUCUCACACAUCUCUUAAACUUCAACCCCUAUCCUCCUUGCCUCUGUAAUAUGCACACAUAUAGAAAAAGAAAUCGACUUUAGAACCUACAUUGAUACAUAUCUUGUGUGAGUAGGUCUUUCCUGCUUUUCCCCAAUCAUGCAUAUCAAAGAAACGAAAAAGAAGGAAAUCACCCAUAUAUAUAAUACCUUAAGUUUAAAUGCAUCCCAAUUUUGGGUUCCAACGUCACAGAAAGAAUGUCUUAUACAUAAUUUAACAGUACCCCCGACAUCGGUCCAUCCAUUCGUAUUAAUAGUUAUUGUCUGCACAAACCUCAAUUACCUUACAAUCUAUCAUUAUUGACAUAAAGUUCAUACAAUAUGGGACAUCAUGACCUCUCUUUGGCCAGCACCAGUUUUUCCAAAAUGAAAUCAACUAUUACUGCAUUAAUUAUGGGUCCAUCUGGCCAAUUCAUUGAAUUCGCAGACCCAAAAAUUUCACCAAUUAACUGAAUUUACAUACAAAUGGGAGAAGUACAAAAACAAAGACAAUGGCAUAAAUUAUACCAUAAAAAUUACACUACGAAAAAUUUAGAGACCAAAAUCCUUGUUAACAGAAUUUAUUCACAUUAAAAGACACAAUUUCGGUUCAAAAAACUAUCAAAUUUAAACUUUGAUAUCAUAUGAUAAAAUCUUAAUUAAACUCACAAUCUCAAGAAGUUGAAACCAUGUUAAGUAAAAGAAACAAAUUGAAAAAAAUUAAGAUGUAAAUAUUGAUAAGAACAACAAAAGUGGCAAAUACAUUAUACACAGAUAGGACCCUGAAAUAUCGGAACCAGCAGCAACAAAUAGAAUUAAGAAGAAAAAGGAUUAGCAGACUUAAUAAAUGAGAAAUAGGAUAACAGGUACGAACUCAGUUUUUCCACUAUGAAUAAGAGAUCCAGUGGCAUAACCUAACAUUAGGUAGAAUCAAUGCUGGUUGAUUGAAUUUUCAUUCCCUGAAAAUUCAGAAAAUGAUGUGUUUUGAUCUGCAGAUAGAAGCAUUCUAUAUAUAUAAAAAAAAAAUAUAUGGAGACAUGAUGAGGUUCAGAAACCAAACCAUGUCGGUAAAAUCCUCUUGGCAGGUUGCUCAAGGUUGACCUCCUAGCCCUUGGACCAGUCAGGAGACUUGGCCUCCUGCUUUCAAGUUUGGAAGGGAAGUAAAAGGUUCAGCCAAUAAGUAAAAGAAUUGAUUCAGAGGAUAGAAUCAAAAUUUCAAAAAUAUUAUUUGAUGCGAUUAAAACUGUUCCCAAUGAUAAAAUGAAUAAAAAAAUCCAUUGGAAUAAAAGAAAAAGAAUGAUUAAAAUUAUUCACAACCCUUGCUGUUUUUACCUAACCAUUUGUAGGAUCCAUAAAGGGCCAAAAAAAGUUUUUUACUUCUCCUCUAGUCCCAUAAAUUUGGAUUCCAUCUCGUCCAAGCAAACUAACAAUCAUUACUAUACUUUGUUUUAGCAUGCGAACACAAAUCUCAAAAAAAAUAGAUAAUUCAUUUACAAAUUUAAAUUCAAUUUUUAUAUCUCGAUAUUUGUUUGUUAAACUCAAUGAUCAAACUUCAGACUCAUGCCUUCCAAAAAGAAAAGAAAACGAAGAAGAAUUGAAAGCACUUCCCAUUCCAAGGAAAGAGCAGCCAUAAUUAGGAUCCAAAACUCAUUCUUUAGUCUCCUCAUCUGAAGCUAUAUAUAAUCAUUGAACAAAAACGUUUAACGUCCAGCAGAAAGCAAACUGCAAUCAAAAUUUCAAAAAAGCAAAAUAAUGCGCAGAUAAUCGACAGCUGCAACAAACAAAAAAUAGAAAAAUCAAAUGCAGAUUGAAGGAAAAAUCGAGACCGCAAUCGAAACUCAUGCUUGUAUGGGUAAUUAAUUGUAGAUACCAAAUCAUCAAAAACCACUUGUCUACACCAAAUUGCAUACAAAAGAUAUUGGGGCAACUCAGAUUGUGCAAUGAAAAACAAAGUCAAACUACGACGUAGAUGUCUAUCGGAAUUUCAUUCAAAGAAUGAUUAAAUAAAGACAAUGGCAUGCCAAAGAUUAAAUACCCUAAGCGACAGUGUCAGCCAUGAGCUUCCCUCUGUGAGAGCACAGGGGUGUAACUGCAAAAGAAAGCCGGAGACUGAGGGCAAACUGUAAUUUCGUCAAAAAGGAGGAAGUGUACAAAAGAGAAGUGACAGCAAUAAGCGUAGACGCCAAGGACAAAGUAAAUAUGUAUUUGUGAAUGGGGUUAAGCUGCUGCUAGCUUUGUAUAGUGUAAUAAUGCAAUUGCAAAUAGACCAAGUUACUGCUACUAAAAGCUUUUGCAAAAUCAUAAAACUCUUAACAGUUUGAACCCUACCGAAAAGUUUAUAUGAGUUAAAGAACAGUCGUACUUAAGUGCAGCAAGAUCAUAAGCUCUUGCAGCUUCUCCUCCAUAUCAGAACCACCUGCAGUCCAAAUUAACCAAGAUUCAAGGCCAAAGCAAGAACAAAUUAGUGAUAAUUUAAACUAAAGUCCCUAAUUAUUGUUGCAGAGAGAAUUCAUAUCAAGAUUAACGACAUUAUUUGAUUCGAAUGGAAUCCAAACGCAGCAUAAACAUGAAAGGUAAAAAAUUAAUACCAAAAGUCACAUUUAAGCAGCAAUUAAUAGCAUAAAUCAGAUUUUAGUGGCAUGGACCAAAAUAAUUCAGUAAAAAAGAAACAAUCCCAAACAAAUAGAAAGAACUGGAGAAACAAUUCGAAACAAAUCUUCGGAAAGCAACCCCAUCCCUCCCUCACCCUCUCUCUCUCCAAUUCCAACUUCUCCCUACAUCUCUCUGUCUAUAAUAGAUGUGCAGUUUUAUUAAUCUUUGUUGCCGAAGCGUGCAAGAUAGUGAAAAGAUUGUUUAUCUAAGAAAAAAAAGGGCACAUUUUAGAUGGAGACAGAUGGCAUUUAACAAAUUCUUCAUUAGUGGAGUAAAUAAUUUGCAACCACCUAUUUCCUGGUAGCAUUAAAAAAAAAAUUCAAUUUUAAAAAAGAAAUGUACUUUUUAGUUCAAUUUCCACAGCCAUAGUAAUUUAUGUGGACUAAAAUUAAGAUUAACUAAUACAUCCAAUCAACUGCAACUAAACAACUUAUAGUAAUUGAAUCUGUGUUUGUGGAUGUGAGAGAGAGAGAGAGAGAGUUAUCUAUUAUAAAGCCAACCUUCUUUGAAUUGGUCCUCUUAUGGCUUAUUACCAAAACUCUCCAUUGCAUUUGCAGUAAUGCCCUCUGCUUCUCCUCCUGCGAAUUAUCAUUCUGUAAGUAAAAGGUACAAAAACAUCAAUUACUUAAUGGUAGAUAUGUACUUUAGACUUUUGAAGAUCCAAUUCAUCCUGCAUCUUCUCACACUCAUCUUCAUGCUGAAGCUGCAAACCUGUCAGCUCAGCUUCAAGUUCGCUCCUCAUUGAAGUUAUUUUCUAUGAAAAUGAUAAACUGGUUUGUAACGUAAGCAUAUAACACUCUAGUUAAAUUAGUAGUUCCAACUUAAUUCAAAGCUAAAAACGACAUUAAUGACCACAAUUUAAGAAUCCAGAAACAGCCCAAACUAACAACACACACAGAGGACAGACACUGAAAGACAUAUUUUUUUAGAGAACCUAACUAAAAAUUAAAAACAAACCAAGUAAAAUUUUCAGAGUUUAAAAACAGGAAACCAUUACAAUCUUUACAGAAACCAACUAAAAUUGGAAUCUGAAAAAAAAUCCGCUCAAUUUUAACAGCCCUGCUGCAUAUAUUGGGUUUUUUUAGGCAUGAGACAACACAAACGAAGAAAACAUAACAUAGUUGUAAACCUUAGGCUCCAAUCAGGUCAAGUGUGAGAUUUCAAACACGGAGAUUUACUCCAUGUUUAAAAACUGCCAAAUACAUUGCCAACUGUUAAGAGUAUGAACUACAAAUCUAUAAAGUAAAAAGACUUGCAGAUAAGUUUAAACAAUCAACAUUCAACUUAUGAUUGUUACUGUUUUUUAGCUGGAUGUUCACAUUCUAAUAAGGUAUUAAAAGAGAUUAUAAGCGUGUGUGCUCUUAAACCACCCAACACCAUGUAUUAAUCAAAUAAUUAACAUCUAAAGAUGGAGACAUGAAACACGAAACCUGCAAUUAGAUCCCAAUCACAAAAUGCCAAAAAAAUCCUAAUCUAACCAUCCCUAUACUAAUAGCCCAUUCGAGCAGCUAUUAGCACCUAACCCGCUACUUUGGCAACCCACCAACCCGCCACACCGUCAUGUCCCAUCCCCUCUCCACCACUCACUAUAUCUCUCACCUUUCUUUCUUGACAUUUCGCUCGGUGCACACAAACACCAAGCCAACCAUUGCCGGCCUUUGUCUAAAAGUGGACAAAAUCCCAUAGGUCCUGGCAGAGGACCUAGCUAAAUCUCUCUCCCACUCAGUCGAAACCCGUAGCUACCAUUUCUCUCCAAUCUGUCAGUCUCUCUGUCCCCCUCUUCUCCUCCCCCCAACAACCCUCUGACCGAUGCAUCACCCACAGCCACACCCACCCGCACCCGAGUCAAAAAUCCCAACGAUCCUCUCCCUCCAACCCGUCAACAAAUUAUGGAUUCCGAGAAUGUAUCUUGAAAACUCAGAUGCACAUGAUUAAAAUUAGUAGAUAUUAAGGACGUGUACUUAACAGAACAACACGAAGAACGAAUGAGUACAUUACAAACUAAAUGACCGUGUCAGCUAGAUACUUCUUAAAGAACACCUCUAAUCUACCAGUAUGAUUACUCAGUUUUUGGUUUUUAAAUUAAUACCCUAAACCUUACAUUCAAACUCAUUUCGAAUGCAAACAAAAGUAAAUGAUAAGUCCCGAGCUUUUCUUUCUAGCCUCAACUCAACUCAAGUUCCCAACCUUCACCUUCCAAUACAAAGAAACUAACGCAUCAAUCUGCAAUUUCGCAAACAUAUAAUUCAACUAACCAAGUUCUGUGUCCACUCAAAUGCACAUAUUUGAGCUCAAUCAAACUUAAAUUUGAAACAAAUAGUGAUGAAAGAUCAAACAUUUAUACCUAGCUUAGGAUCCGAACCAAUCUCCUCUUUCGCCUCCCUCGUCGCCGUGUCCCCAUCGUCCUUGUCCCCCUCCUCUGUUUUCCCACCCGGCAAAGAAACUUCACCUGCAGAAACACAAAACCAAAAAUUAAAAAACCAAUCUUUCCCAUUUCCAUUUUUAUCAAUUUCCUCAAUUUUUCCCAUUUCCAGAAAAAUGAGCAAGAAGCUUAAGCAGGAAAAAAAUCAUAAUUUCAACAACCAAAACCCAAUACCCGUUUAAUCAUACACGAACGAAAAAUCUAAACACAGAGUCACAGAUUAACGAACUGAAAACCCAAAAAAAAUAAAGGAAACUGACCUUACUUAAGAACAAUACAUAGAACACAGAGAAACGAAACAAAUAAAGGAACCCCCAAAACCAAAUAAAGGAACCCUCAAAACCUGACCUAACAGUGCAACAAAAUCUGGAAAUAAUUCACAGCAAAAAGGCAGAAAUGAUGACAAUCUAUGCUAACAGUAAAGAAUCGAAUUAAAAAUUGAACUUAGCUUUUGAAAUCCAGCCACUCAUCCGACAUGCAAAAGGGAACGGAUGAUCGAGAGUGAAUCAUGGACUGAGGGACCUUACUCGACCCAUCAUUGGAGCUACGUUUGUAGCUUUUGGGGAGAAAAAAAUUGAAUGUGAAAGCUGCUUUUGAUGUGGCCAUUAAGGUGGUGCUUCAGCAACCGAAGCAAAAGAAGAAGAGGCAGAAAAAUGUGAGUAUUCCAUGAAGAAAAAAAAAAGGUUAAAAAAUCACUAAAAAGAAAAGGCAGAAAAAUGCAGGGUAUUCCAUGAAGAAAAAUUCAACAAUUAAAUAAUAUAGCUGUAAACCUUAGACUCCAAUCAGGUCAAGUGUGAGAUUUCAAACACAGAGAUUUACUUCAUGUUAAAAAACUGCUAAAUACAUUGCUAACUGUUAAGAGCAUGAACUAUCUGUAAAGUAAAAAGCCUUGCAGAUAAGUUUAAACGAUCAACUGUCAACUUAUUAUUGUUGCUGGUUUUGAGGUGGACGUUCGUAUUCUAACAUGGUAUUAAAAGAGAUUAUAAGUGUGUGCGCUCUUAAAUCAGCCAACACCAUGUAUUAAUCAAAUAAUUUAUAUCUAAAGAUUGAGACAUACAACAUGAAACCUGCAAUUAGAUCCCAAUCACAAAAUGCAAUAAAAAAAUUCCUAAUCUAACCAUCCAUAUACUAACAACCUAUUCGAGCAGCUAUUAGCACAAUUUACCUCCCUCUCUAUUCUUCCCCACCCCCUCUUUAACCAAAUAAAAACUCAUUUGUCUCACUAAAUAAAAACCUCAAAUUUGUUUUUUCAAAGCUGCAACAACAUCACUAAAAACACCAUGUAAUAAAAAUUUAAAAAAACCAAUCCAAUUUAAGUCGAGAAGCAAAUGACCAAACCUCCUAUUUUGAGGAAACAUUUUGCAUUCAAACCUAAAAUGCUUGCCUGCAAAGAAGGAUUAAAUAGCAAAGCAGACUUUCGGGGGAAAUAAAAAAAACAGACUAUUUAUAAUACAAUAAAAAUAAAGUAAUUCAUCAUCCCCACCAUCUCUGUGAGCUUUAACAGAACAGAGGAAUCAAAUUAAGCAAUAUAUAAAUUUAAGUUGACAUUCCAGUGUUCUACCUCUAACCUUGGUAGCAUGCAUGCACUGUAAGUUAUAAAGUGAAUUAAGCCAAGAUCUUCUAACUUCAUGAUUUUCACAUAUGCAUUAGAUGGAGAAAUACAAUAAAUAAUCAAAUAUGUAAGACUCUGAUAUUCAAAACCAAACAAACCCAAUUACACUUUUAGUUCACUAACCCCAUUGAAUAAAAUCCAAUUCAAUAAAAUAACAGAAAAUUAAACAACCCAAAAAUCAAAACAACCCCACUUGUAGUUUUAGCUCACUAAUCCGUUGGAUAAAUAGAUGCCAAAUUCAAUCAGAAAACAUACAAUUAACAACAACCCAGAAGAGCCAUCCGAAAACCCAACCAAUUAACCAAAAAAUACCACUUGUUCUUUUAGCUUAGUAACCAACCUCUACUUGUUUUCUGGCAAAUUUGGGGUCCUUUGAUUUCUAGACUUUCAGUAGAAACUGAUUAUACCAUGGGCUAAUAUUCAAGUACCACAAAAUAUAAUUUUACCGUAGUAAGCUUUUUGAUUCACUCCAAACGAAGAUAUUAUAUGUUCACAUAUAUAUAUUCACAACCAUAAAAAGAAGAACUUAUCUCUGGCAUUUUAAUAAAAAUAAAAAUAAAUUAUUCACCCACAGUAAAAACCGAAACAGCUAAAUUAAACCCAAAAAUUAAUCAUGAUCAUACAUAUGUAUUCCUGACAAAUGUUUAGCCCUUUAAUUAAAACACUAAAAUAAAAAAUUGCUCACCCACAGUAAAAAACCGAAACAUGCAAACCAAAGCCCAAAAUUUAAUCAUCACUAUUACUUUUUUUUUUUUUGGUGUUUUUAAGUUUCAGGGAAAAAUGGAAGCACAAACAAUCAAAAAACCCAAACAAAAAGAAAUUAACACCAAAGAGAUAAAUUAUAUACCUGACCCAGAAAAAGCUUGGAAGCUCACAUAAUGAAACCCUAAAACUCGAAGAAGGAUGCUUCCUGCAAACCAAAUACAAAAUCAGACUCUCUCUCUUAGAAAGAGAGAAGUUAUCAAGUCCUGUACUUGGUUAUAUUUGUUCAAGUUAGGAAAAAUCGAGUACAGGGUUGGUACCUGGAGCUUGAGAAAUCAGAGAGCUUGCCUGUUUGAGAAAAGAUGAUAACAACAGCUUCAGAUUCACACAGAAAACGUACAAAAAACGCACAACAUGCUCUCUGCCCUCUCUCUCUCUCCCUCCCUGUCCAUCCGUCCCUCAAAAAGUGGGAAAAAAAAUCUCCAAACGUCUCUCCCACUCAUGAAAUCGAGGAUCUGCAGCAAUGGCGCUGAGGUCGCCACUCCUCCCUCUCCCUUUCUCUGUCGCUCUGUCUCUGUCUCUGUCUCUGUCUCUGUCUCUCUCUAUCGAAGGCAUGGCCUUUCAUCCCCGAAACCCUCACUGAAUGACAGCAAACCCAAACCCACCCCAAUCCGUCUCAAACACACAGGACAAAAUUGCCCUUCCAACCCAGCCCCAAUACCAGCCCAAACCUUACGGUUUUGUUGUAAAUAGCGUGAAAUCGAGUGGCUCCCUGAUAAGCCAUAUGGACAAAAUUACCCUCUGAAAUUUUGAGAAUCACCCUCCCAACCCACUCCCAUUCGGCUGGUACUGUUGUAAAUAAAGCAAAAUAAAAACAAACGUGAAUAGUGCCUGCCCUCCCCCUACUUUAGUAUAGAUAAUUUUGCACAUUGCAUAUAUGUAGAUUAAGGACGGUGGUAACAUACCUUGUAAUUUGUACAAAUUAGGAUUUUCAUUCAAAGAACUAUAAUAUACACAAUUACAAAAAAAGUGAUUCAAACUUGUUCUUCUCUUAAGGAAAUUACUCACAGUUGAAAUUCUGAAUGGAUGAAGUUUUGGCUUCCCUUUCCGACUAUAUUUGAUUAACCUUUUUUUAAUCCAAUGAGUGCCUUCAUGAGAGAGAGAGAGAGAGGAAUAUUAGGUGAAAAGUAUUGCCAAAUCACACAGAGAUCAAAAUCUUGAAUAUAUAUGUUUAACCAUGUCAAAGUGAGUGUGUAAAGGGUGUAGUCUGCAGAAAGGGCAACAUUUUCACUGCUAGAAAGUUGGAAACUAAACUUUUACACAGAUAUUGGAUUUUAUUAAUUCCCUUCGCGAAUUGAAAAGCAAAUUGUUCGAGUAAUGCAGGUAAAUUCGAUAUACAUAUGCGUUGAUCUAUGUGACGGUUAUAAGUUAUAACUGUAUUGUCUUAACGCAAAAAUGAUCAUAAAUGUAAGUGUCUGUAUUAUGGAAGUAAGGGACUUACAGCAAUUGCUAUGAGCUUUAACAGCAGUCACUCCAAGUACCUUAUUACGGAAGUAAGGGACUUACAUCAAUUGCUAUGAGCUCUACCAGCAGUCUCUCAAAGUGGUGCAAGGGCUAAAAUUAUAAAUAAAAAGUAAUUUAAACAAUUUAACUUAAUAAAAUAUUGUAAUUUAAACAAUGCCUAUAUAUUCAAACAUCCCAAAACAGGAAUGAACUUCUAGAAAACAUGCGCAUGAAAAUAAACGGCAUUACUCACCCAUUGAGUUGGACCAUCAAACUGGAGCGUAAGAAGGAUCAUCAUGUACCUAUGAAACCCAAAGGAAAAUUUUAGCAACCCCAAAGCUUGUAUGCAAGCGUGAAUAAGUAUGCGUGUAUGAAUCUAUUCAUAGUGAAGAAGGCUACCUUAAGAAAUAUUUGCAUCUGCAGCUUCAUAUGGCCAUACAACAAAAAGCAUCGCAUAUGAUAACAAACCCCAGCUGCACCACAAAAGGAAUAUGAUCUUCCUCUCGACUUGUAUUUGCAGUUGUUACUGUAACAUCUGCAGACAGCAUACAUAAGCACUGAUUCGAUAAUUCUAAAGGAAAAAAAGUUCUUAUUCGAUAAUGCACCAAAUCCUAUCCAAAAACCAAGGGGGUGCCAUAUCCCUAGAUUAACAGAGCAUCUUUCUUUGUUCCAAAACAAAUUGCAAUUGGCUUUGGUAAAGUAGAAAGAUUACCAGAUACCGACUCUGUUCCAUUAUUCGACUGUCCUUUUAGUUCUAUCUCUCAACAUGGGAAAUACAAUAAGACAGUAAAGACAAAAGUUAGUGAUGCUAUUACAUAGUGAAAGAAAAUAAGACAUUCACAUAUUGAUAGCUAUUUACUGUCCUUUCUCAUCAUAAUCUUGGCCCCAAUAUAUAUACUGAAUUUUGAAUGCAAUGAGAGAAAUAUACCUUUGGGGCGUCAAUGCCAGAAGAGUGAGUGAGGGAUCUAAGAUGUUUGAGAGCAGGAAUUUUUAAGUAAUUUGUGUGAAAAAGUUGAAGAGCUUCGAACAGAGUGGAGUGGGUUGGCCUGGGCUAAAAUAAAGAGGAUGAACUCUAGAAAGUAGAAAAUGUUGUUAUUCAACCAAACUCAAAAGUAAAGAAACCAUACAAUUAACAUAUAAAUAAGUUUUAUAUACCAAUGUUUACAUGUACGUUGUUUGAGAAGGUAAAUUAGCAACAUAUACAGUGAUCAAAAGAUUAACAGCAAUAAACUGCUCAUUAUUCGAAAUAUACAUGAAAGUUGUCAUUCACAUGAUCCAAAUGGUAGAGGACAAAACAGAAGGAAGCAAAUAUUAUAGCAGCAUAAGUUGAAUAAUUGCAGCAAGUAAACAAAUAGAAAGGCUAGCUAGAUUACACAAUCCAGUUCUAGGUCGGACUAACCAUGUUAGCCAUCCGCCCACCACCAGCACCGUCGGCUUCUUAUUAAAAAUGUAGAAUAGAAGACUCAAAAACUGGAAAUGAAAGCAGGUAACAUUGAGUUUUAAUAACCAAAAAGGGACAUUGUUUAAGCAGCUCCAUAGCAGCAAUUAUACUUGGACGAUGAGCUGCAAAAACAGAAAAGAAAACACAAAUUAAACUAAAAAAAAUAUAAAAUUUAGCACUAAUCCAGGAUUAAAUAUAAAAUAUAAAGUCAUUAGGAUUGGGACCUUUGCAUUGAGGAAUAUCUACUACAUUAUGAGUUCCCUCCUGACAGUGGCGGAUCCAGGAUUUUAAACUCGGGGGGUCUCAAUAAUAAAGGUCAAAAAAUUUAUACACAAAAACAACAUUGAAAAUUUAAAUAUAAUACAUUUCAUUCAAAAAUCAUAUGCAAAACAAUAUUACAAAUUAUAAAAUCAUAAUUCAAGCGUCCAUUACAAGGUUUCAUAAGUUACUACCUAAGUUAUUGAUUAUCUAAUAUGGACCACUAAAUUUAAAACACCAGUCAAAUAAAACUCUUCCCAAACUCCCACUAUCUUUCUAACCAAACACACCAUUUUUCUCUUUUACUAGUUUCCAAACAUCCACUUUCUCUCUCACUAAGAACACAGCUGCCAUACCUCCACCAACCACCUCCCUCCCCAUUCUCCCGAAGCCAUGGCAGCUCCACCCCCAAAUUUCACCAACCCAUGACAGAUCAUAUCCAUCUUACUAACCUUAUGCAGGAAAUUUCACCCAUAACAAAAAUUACUAAGGUGGUUGAAAUAAUUUGGGGAAAUUUGGGCUUAUGUACUGCCCCGCCAGACGACAGAUGGAGGAGAAGUGGGUGGCACCGAUGGAUGAGACCAUGGCAGAAGCAAGGAGAGAGGCUGGAAGGGUCCCUAUUUUCUUUCUUCUCCGUGCGCGGUCAUCUUCUCCGAGAAGAAGACAGCCACUGCAACCUACAACCUGCACAGACCUCAUGCUCGAGUACGAGGGGUCCCCGGAAAAUUUCUAGCAGCGAUUUAGGAUCGCCGACGGGUCCUGGGACCUCCCAGGUCCCUAUGUAUGCAGGAAAACCUAAGGUUCCUCCUUAGGUUUUUCGAUGUACCAAACCCGAAUCCGCCGUCCUUUUUCCAAAAUUCUAACGUUUUCAUAGAGUUUUAUUAAACGACCUUUAAUUGUGUUUAGGUGCAUCGGUGGAAGUGACCUCAUUCUUGAUGGUUCGAGCGGCUUUCGGGCAAUGGAAAACUUGUGAGUGGACCCCUUCUAAACUUAUAUAUUGUUAUAAAAUAUUAGCCUAGCAUGCAUUCCAUAUUUCAUGAUUUGAAUAUGAUUUAUAAUAUGCUUUAUGGACUUUUAUAAUUAUGGUUUACGAAAUAGUUUGAUUUAUCGAAAUUACGUUUUAUUAGGUAUUGAAUUAUUGGAUUUACAUAUAUGGAUUUCUAUGGUUUUCAAAUACGAUUUAUAUUACGGUUUUACGAACAUGAAUUGUUUUAUGGAUUUCAUGAAUACAAUUUAUCUUGGAUUUAUGAGAUGAGACUUUGAGCUAGUGAGCUCCGGGUUUGAUAUGAGUUUUGAGAUAUGUUUUUGGUACUUAAUCUAGUGGGUUAUCAUACGGCACAUCCGCACACCACGGGUAUAGAUGUGUAUGGCCAUAGGACACAGAUGAUGAGGAGGAGUAAGAUAUGAUAUAUUGUAUACCCCCAGUUCACUGUCGAAAGCAGUGUCAGAUAACUUCACUAGCCAUGGCUAGUGUCGGUAUGGAUGUUAUGCUAUUUCAUACAGCUUCACCUUCGGGUGAUAGACAGUUAUUUAGCUUCACCUUCGGGGUGAUGGACAUGUACUACCUUCGGCCAACUAUAAUAGCCUUAGUUGAGUACUUCACUGACAAGAUUUACAAAUUUGCCUUUGGGCGACGACAUUUUCAUUAUCAAGCACUGGAUUUUACAUAUCUACCUUCUAAAUGGAUUUUCAUGGCAUGCUAGGGUUUUUCAUAAAGCCUAUAUGUAGUAUUAUAUAUGUUUUCAAAAUAAGGGGUUAUUAUGUUCAUAAAUAAAAUGUUUUCCUAUUAUUAGUAUUAUUAAUAUAAACUUUGGUCCACUCACCUUUUCAGUUUUUGCGCCUCCUCAGGAGUUAGGAUCGAGGCACAUGAUCCCGGCAUCAUGGCAUGUUGAUAUAGGUAUCCUUGAAUCUUCUUAGUGUAGGUAUCAUUCCCUUAUUCAUAUCUUUUUAUAGUGAUUCUUUCCUAUUAUUUCUAAUUAGUUGUAUGCUCUGAACAAAUUCCUGCUUUGGUAUAAUCGUUAUAACUACUUAUCUUGUAAUUGUUUGCAUGUUUAAAAUGGUUUCGUCACCUUUGGGCGUGGGCUAGCACGUGCCUACCCUGGUAUGUUGGGGUAUCGGGGUUGGGGCGUGUCAAAGAUAGAGAGUGAAUUUCUAGCAGAUUCAAUGGUUGUCUACAUUUUAAAAAGAGCUUGCCGAAAAGAUUGAUUCAGAUGAAAUAACAAAGGAUUUCAAUUCCAUUAAGGAUUGAAGGGCACAACUUGAAUAGGUAUUUUUCUUUUUAUUUGUUAGGUUGUUAUGACAAGAUUGACGAUGUAUGUUUCUUUAUAUUGUAAGUUGCAACUUUAAAGGUUUUCUUCGUUAAAUCUAGUUGAAACUUGAUUCAUUUAGAGUUAAAUUUCUUACUUCAAAUUGUUGCUUUUAGGCUUAUUAUUGUGUAACUUUAUGCAAGCAACAAAAAAUUUUAACCAUUUGAUUUUGUACUAAUAAUUUUAGCUUAGCAUGCCACCAAAUAAUUCAUGUCUCCGCUAUUGAAAUCUUAGCAUGUGCAAUUUCAAAGUCUCGGUUGCCAAGUCUCCCCAGGCUGUUCAGCACCCAUUCUGAAUCUUGAUCGAGAUCUAGAGCAGUGCAAGUCAAGGAGUCUUCAUUCUCAUUUGAAACAAUGCUAAAAUUAUACCUCAGCUUGGACUCCUUGGGCAAAAUAUACCCAAAUGUAUUAAUAAUUUAAUACUACUUGUGGAUGCACCACUAGUCCAAAAAAAUCACCUCUCCUUUCUUAAUCUUCAAUUGGUGAGGGUCCCAAUCAAGCGUGAAAGGCCCCGGCGCACGGUUGGCUUUAGUUUCCCAUGAUGAAAUCGACGAAACGUGGCCAUUUGUACGGUUGACACCCAAUUUCAUGCCCGGCAAAAAGGUGUCAACUGGUAAUCAAAGCUUUACGUUCACUUCUUCUUGUACAAAAUUUCCCGAAUCCAAAAGGAUAGCCACAACAGUAGCAAUACUGUUACUUAUGUUGGUAGACCUAGUAGUUUGUGGAGCUGAGAAAAACACAAUUGGAUUAGGAUCCCUCCCGCAUAAUUUUCAAGGUUUUAUUCCUGUCCAAGGCAAGAGUGCGUACAAAAUAGGGGCUUUACGGUUGCAAAUCCAAGCAAUGUUGCCAUCGGCCUUGUUGCUCUGGAUAGAUACGUAGCUGGUGCUUUUGGAACUGUCGUCGUGUACACAGGAACUGAAACUGAACUUCUCCGAUGCAGAGACCAAAGAACUUGAGGAGUUGAGAGUGUCUCCUGCUGGUUUCAGUGUGUCCUUGCACUUGCAGCAUUGUGACAGGUCCACAGUCAGCAUGCAAAAAUGAUUAAGUUGAUUAUUGCCAUGAUUAAUUAAUGACCAUAACAUGAAGUUUAAUUUCUCCAUAUGAUGAGGAAGAAAGACAUGAAAUCCAUCACCAGAACAUGAUUAAGAAUUUAAUCAAGCAACGCGUCUUAGUUAAACCAUUACAAUCAUUGUACAAGGCAUUUAUAAAUUAAAAAAAAGGGAAUAAAGUAAUAAUUGUUAGAAUAAGAAGAAAAUGUAGUACAACAAUGGAGGAUAUGCUGCAAUGACUAGAGUGAGAGAGAGAGAAAGAAGAGAGCAGAGAAUAUGACACUGCAAUUCUUUUCACACGCAUUGUUUGAUUGCUCACUUAGUGAGAGAGGAACAUCUCUCUACACUUAACAGUUACACUUCCAAACUUUUGGCAGUAUUCAAAAUUACAUCCAAGUAAUCCUAGCCAUCCAUCUUACACCCUAUGAGAUGAAGACACAUGUACACUCACUUACUUAAGAACUAUGAGACUUAGAUAAGAAAGCAUACAACCAAUUUAGCUAAUCAUCCUAGCAAUAUAAGCUAGAAAUACAACUACCACAUCAGAUCACAAUUUACACACUAACAGCCCCCUUUAAAUUGUGAACUGAUUUAACUCCAAGAAGUUCCCUCAGAUAACUGAAUUGUUCUCUUGCCAAUGCCUUUGUAAAGAUAUCAGCAAUUUGGUCUUUCGUAGGACAAUGCAACAGCUCAAUUACUCCUUGCUGCAAUGCUUCCUUUAUGAAAUGGUAUCUCCUGUUGAUGUGCUUGGUCUUCUGAUGAAAAAUAGGAUUUUUAAUGAUAGCUAUGGCUGAAGUAUUAUCACAAUUCAUUGGUGUUGCAACUAUUUGCAUUUCACCAAAGUCCUCCAAAACAAAUCUCAGCCAUGUAGCCUGUGCAGUUGCUUCAGAUGCACUAAUGUACUCUACUUCAGCUGUUGAUAAUGCAACACAUUGUUGCUUGACUGAAGACCAAGAGAAAACUCCACUGCCAAAGGUAAAUGCAUACCCCGAUGUACUUUUCAUAUCAUCUUCUGAACCGCUCCAGUCACUGUCACAAAAUCCCAUUAAGAUUGCUCCUUUGCCUUUCUUGUAUUCCAAGCCAAAAUCAAGAGUCCCUUGAACAUAUCUUAGUACUCUCUUUGCUGUCCCAAGGUGCUUGUUGGUUGGACAGUGCAUAAACCGUGAUAGCAGACAUGCAACAUACAUUAUAUCAGGUCUAGUUGCUGUGAGAUACAGCAAACUGCCUACAAUUUGUCUAUAUUGAGCUUCAUCCGUAGUCCCACUUCCAUCCUCUUUUCUCAAUUUAUCACUUGGAACCAAUGGAGUACUCACUGACUUACAGUCUUGAAGUCCAAAUUUCUUCAGUAGAGAAGAAGCAUAUUUUCUCUGAUGAAUGAAAAUAUACUCCUCAGUUUGCAUUACUCCCAUACCAAGAAAGUGAUGUAAGAGUCCAAGAUCAGUCAUUUCAUAUUUGAGCAUCAUAUUAGAUUUAAAGUCAUCCAUCAAUUCCUGACAACUUCCAGUGUAUAUUAUGUCAUCAACAUAGAUAGACACUAUAAUCAUUUCUGAACUUUUCCUCCACUUGGUAUACAGAGUUGCUUCGCUAGUGCUUUUCUUAAACCCACAGAGUGUAAGAUAUGAGUCUAUUUCACCAUACCAGGCCCUUGGUGCCUGCUUCAGACCAUACAGUGCUUUAUGUAACCUGUAGACCUUAUCUUCUUCCCCUUGUACAAUAAAUCCAUCCGGCUGAUCAACAUACACUUCUUCUUCUAGUACACCAUUCAAGAAUGCCGAUUUUACAUCCAAUUGAAACAACUUCCAUUUGUUCUUUGCUGCCAGGGCAAUUAAUGUUCUGAUUGUAUCCAACCUUGCCACAGGUGCAAAGGUUUCAUUAUAAUCAAUUCCGGGCUUUUGUGCAUAGCCUUUUGCAACAAGCCUAGCCUUGUUCUUUUGAACUGAUCCAUCCAAAUUCAAUUUAGUUUUGUACACCCAUUUCACACCAAUCACAGGUUUAUCAGAUGGUCUUUUCACUAAUUCCCAAGUCUUAUUUUUCUCAAUCAUGCUGAUUUCAUCUUUCAUAGCUUUCUUCCAUGCUUUAUCCUGUGCAGCUUCAUAAUAGGAUUCUGGUUCAACAAUACACAUGACAUCUUUCAUAGAUUUCACUCAAACUUCUAUAUCUCAAAGGAGUAUGAUCAAUCUGAGAUGCAAAAAUUGAGUCACUAGCACUUCCAGAUUCAAUGAGUGGAGAAUCUGUAAGUUGAGUCUGAGAACCUUCAGCAACAGCUUGUUCCAUGGAAUCCGAAUCCUCAUCAGCUUCUUUCAUCUCUGAAGAUUCACUUGCAGCAAUUGGAAUGUACACUUCUUUGAUCUUCUAUCUAUCCCAAUCCUAUGUACCAUUCUCAUAAAAAAUAACAUCUCUUGAAAUGAUUACUUUCUGAUUUUCAGGAUUAAGCAAUCUGUACCCCUUUUCACAAGUGCCAUAUCCAAUAAAAAUACCAAUGACACUUGUUUCAUCCAGCUUCUGUCUCAGGUUUCCAGGAAUAAGGGAAUAACCUAAUGAGCCAAACACUCUCAAGUGUUGAAUUCCAGGUUUUCUUCCACUGAAUUUCUCAAAAGGUGUCACAUUUUCCAAUACUUUUGUAGGACAUCUAUUUAGCAAGUAGACAGAUGUAACUACAGCUUCACCCCAAAGACUAUAAGGAAGACCUUUCUCAUGAAGCAUACACUUUGCCAUCUCCACUAUAGUUCUAUUUUUUCUCUCUGCAACUCCAUUCUGUUGUGGAGAGUAUGCAACAGUAAGCUGCCACUCCAAACCCAAAGCUUCACAAAACUGUUCAAAUUCAUUUGAGGUAAAUUCUUCUCCUCUAUCUGUUCUCAAUUUCUUCACUGAAAAACCACUUUGAAGUUCCACCAUAGCUUUGAAUUUCUUGAAUACAUGAAAGACAUCUGACUUGUGUCUCAAGAGAUAUAUCCAGCACAUCCUCGAAUAGUCAUCAAUGAAUGUAACAAAGUAUCGAUUUCCACUUAUGGUUGGUGUUUGCAUAGGGCCACACACAUCUGAGUGUAUAAGUUCCAAUGGCAUUCUUGCUCUCCAGAUUGACUCCCUUGGAAAGGACACUCUAUGAUUCUUACCAAAUGCACAUCCCUGACAUACACCUUCACUGUCAUGCAUUUCAGGUAACCCAAGAACCAUAUCAUGCUCCUGCAAUUGUUGCAAACUUCUAAAAUUCAGGUGGCCAAACCGUUUAUGCCACAUUGUACUAUUCUGAUGCACAUUGGUUUUCAGUACCAAAUGAUCGUUUGACUUGAACACAAGUGGAAAGCAUCUGUUCCCCUUUUGUUUCACACUAACCACUAAAUUUGUCAGAGUUCUAUCAUAAAAAAUAUCCACCUUAUAAUCACCAAAUAACAGAAAAUACCCAUGUUCAGUCAUCUGCCCAACACUGAGAAGGUUUUCUGCAAUUCCAGGUACUAACAUAACUUCUCUUAUGUACCUUUUUCCUUUAUCCGUGUCAAUGACCAAGGUUCCUUUGCCUUUCACAUCAACAAGAACCCCUGUGCCAACUUGCACUUUUGCUUUAAUACUUCUAUCAAUUUCCACAAGUAACUCCUCUCUGGAAGUCAUGUGAUUACUGCACGCACUGUCAAUAUACCAGGCAUCACUCACAGCUUUCACUUCAGUUGAUUGCUUGACCAUGAAGAGAUUUCCAGGUUCCAGGUUCUCCCACCUUGUUUCUAAAAUUUCUUUGCUCUCCCACUUUGUCUGCAAAAUUCCCUUGCUGAGCAUUUUUGUUUUGAUUGCAGAUCCUAGCAAUAUGACCAGGUUUUCCACACUUGUGACAUUUAAUCUUCCCUUUUAGCCAACAUUCACCAUAGUGAAGUUUAUCACAGUAUUUGCAUGCCCCUCCAGUGUUGUUAGCUUCAUUUCUUACACUUGGAGUAAACCUGUUAGUCCACUGCUUCCCUUUGAACUUGAAGUUCUUCUGAUAUUUUGAUCCACCAGUAUUGGUAUGUUGAUUACCAAAUUUACUAUUCUUAGAUGAGAUAUAUAUCUAAGCUAGCAAAUGCACGUUCUGUGCUACUCUCUUCAUGUCUGAUUAAUCUUAGUUCAAACCCUUUCAAUAUGGCAACCACAUCUUGUGCAUCAAUUACAUCAAUAUCUUUAGUAUUUUCUAUAACAGAAGCAAUGCUAUCAUAUGUUUUGGGUAAACUGAUCAAUAACUUUUGCACAAUUCUCUGAUUACUAAGAUCUUCUCCAUAGCUUCGCAUCUGAUUUAUCAGAUCAAACAACCUAGCUAAAUAUGCAGCUAGAGAUUCACUUUCACUCAUACGGGUAUAUUCAAAAUCACGACGCAGACCUUGUAAUUUCACAGAUCGUACCUGUUUGUCCCUACACAUACUCUUGCUUCAGAAUAUCCCAAGCUUCUUUUGCAGUUUCCAAGGUUGCAAUGCGUGGAAAAAUUUGAUCCGAUACGGCUCCCUGAAUGAUUCCAAGAGCCCUUGCAUCCUUGACCAGAUUUUCACUCCGCAACUUCGUUUCCACCUCAGUGAGUUCUCCUUCCCCUUUCGCUGAAGUGGUAAAACCUUUUUCAACAAUAUUCCAUAACUCGUGAGAUCGGAAGAUUGUUUUCAUUCGAAUCUACCAGAAAUCGAAAUUUUCUCCGUUGAACACCGGAGCUCGAAGCUCCCCUCCACCAGAUCCAGCCAUGUUAGACUUAGAUCACACCUCUCUCUACUAUUUUCUUUGCAACGAUGUGUUGCAAACACUUGCUCACUAUCUCUCACAGAAUCGACGCCCAGAGAUUCAGACCCAACAAGGCUCUGAGGCCAUGUUAGAAUAAGAAGAAAAUGUAGUACAACAAUGGAGGAUAUGCUGCAAUGACUAGAGUGAGAGAGAGAGAAAGAAGAGAGCAGAGAAUAUGACACUGCAAUUCUUUUCACACGCACUGUUUGAUUGCUCACUUAGUGAAAGAGGAACAUCUCUCUACACUUAACAGUUACACUUCCAAACUUUUGGCAGUAUUCAAAAUUACAUCCAAGUAAUCCUAGCCAUCCAUCUUACACCCUAUGAGAUGAAGACACAUGUACACUCACUUACUUAAGAACUAAGAGACUUAGAUAAGAAAGCAUACAACCAAUUUAGCUAAUCAUCCUAGCAAUAUAAGCUAGAAAUACAACUACCACAUCAGAUCACAAUUUACACACUAACAAUAAUUACAAGUUUUACACAAGUGACCAUUUAUUACAAUGGUGGAAAGGUGUUAAAAGCUUUUGCAUGACGGUGUGAGUUCGAACCUCGUCGGUUGUUAAUCUACAAACCCCGUCGGUAGUUAAUCUAACUUCUAAUCUAAUAAAAUCUAUUUUUUGACCAAAAAAAAAUAAUUACAAGUUUUACUAAAAAUUUAGGGGUGUGAUAUCUACACACCCCUUUUUACUUCUCUCACAUCUUUUUGAUUUUCGACCGUCGGAUCGGAUGAAUUGAAGAAGAUCAACGGACAGAAAUUAAUAAGGAUGUGUGAGAAGUAAAAAAAGGUGUGUAGAUAGCACACCUCAAAAUUUACCGGAAGACUUGAUCACCCAUUUGUAUGCUGACAACGGUGACUAGAUUCACAACCUCUUUCCCACGUAAAUCACAUCAUCCAAUUUUAUUUUUCUUACAACAUAUCACGUAUCUGUCAUAUGUAAGACUUUUUUGGAAUAUGGAGCGUGAAAUUGCAGCGGAAGCAUCCUAGAUUUUUGAUCGAAUAUUGAGUUUGGUUUCAUGACAGACUUCCUGGAUCAAACACACCCUAAAAAAAUAUAUAAAAAACCAAUAAGGUCAUGGUGAUACGACAUCAUUUUAAGAGGAAAGGUAAAAACAAUCUAGUUUCUAUACUAGGAAGAUUCACUCGAACAAAUUCUUGGAAACUAUGACUCAAACAAAAUUCUAGGAAUUCAGUAUUUUUAACAAAUGAUAAACGUUUAAGAUAUAUUCUUUAUAAUAUUAGAGAAAUCGAACGGUUGAUCUAUAACUCGCAAAGUGGUUGUAGCUCAAGUAAUUUUACUCCCCAAUUUUACAUAAAACAUAAAAUAAAAACAAAUCCUAAUUUACAUGGUAAUUUUUUUUCAUAGCUAGGGACAACUUCGACUAUGGUAAUGCAAUUAAUAUACACUAGUUUUGGAUGGAGAAGUUUCAAGAUUGAGCAUGGGAUGGGGAGGGGCGAGAGACUUGGAUGGAGAGUGAGGUUUUAUGAGUUAAACAGUGAUGCAAGGAUGUAUUACUUAAAACUUUAGAGACCGUAUGUUGGGCUAUAUAUAAUUGUUUAACUCAUAAACGUUUUGAGUGUUUCUAACAUAUGCUUAUCAAAAGCCUUCUCGUUCUAUCAAACAAUACGAAAAUUUUCAAUUGAAUGCAAGACAUACUAUUUUAUAUAUCACAGUACUUCAUGGAUCAUCAUCAUCACAUAUCCUUAAUUCAAAGGUAAUAAAUGAGCAUCUAGUUUUAUUUUUAUUUUAUUUUAUAUAGGGACUACAGAAGCAAGCACCCUUUGUAAAUUAAACUCUAAAACUUCUCAAGUAUCUUGAAAGGUGCCAAAAGCCAUCAGCCAACUCCAGUUGAUGCAUAACCUCCUACAUUUACAAAAACAGCGUCGCCGUUAAUUUAUUGACUUCUUCCCAGGACACAUACCAAUUUGCGAAAGUGGUUUGACUGAUGCUAAUUAGUCGAGUAAAGUACAGUCUUUUCAAUUAAGCAGAUGCAAAACACUUAGUUGAGGCACUACAAAUAUGAUUUUUACCUUUAAUUAACGCGCUUCAAAAUCUGAACUGGACAUGUAGUUUGCUGAAGCAACAGUUUCAAGUUGCUGAUUCCCACUUAUACCAGCCUCCACCGUCCUCCUUCCAACAAAAAAUGCUGGCUUUGUUGGUGAUGCUAAUCGAAAGCUUUCAUUUGUCAACAUAGAUAUGACAUCUGACAUGGUAGGGCGAUCUGCUGCAUUUUCUUCUACGCAAAGCAGACCGACAUGGAUGCAUCUUAACAGUUGCUCUUUAAUAAACGAAUUUCCUAAUGUUGGAUCCGUUAAUUCUAGCCCUGCACCUUUUUUCCAUAACUCCCAUGCCUGAAGAACAAGGAUUGCAUUUCAUUCUAAAGAAGAAAAAAUAUGAUUAUAAAUUUUAAGAGAGAGAUUUGUUUGUCAUACAUAUCCUACUAAAUUGAGUGCGCGAUCGUCAUUGUAAAAGCUGUUGUUUUUCCUUCCACUUAUGAUUUCAAGCAUCAAUACCCCGAAACUGUAGACAUCAGACUUUACAGAAAUAAUUCCCCCCACGGACUCUGGAGGCAUGUAACCACUGCACGAAAUGAAAAAGAAAAUUAGUCAGUAUACUUAUCUGGAAAAAUGCGUGUUUAGCAGUCAAAAGGGGAGGACCACGUCAAUGUGAUGCAGAAAUACUUACAGUGUCCCCACAACCUUUCUAGUGUUUGCUUCCAAUUCAUUUUGGGUGAAAAUCCUUGCCAUACCAAAAUCUGAAAUUUUUGGGUUCAUGUUUUCAUCAAGUAGUAUGUUACUAGCUUUUACAUCUCUAUGAAUUACUUUCUUUCUUGAGUAUUUGUGCAGAUAAAGCAACCCUUGAGCAAUUCCUUCGAGAAUGCUAAAACGCUUCUUCCAAUCUAGUAGUAGACCUCUGAUUGGAUCUGUCCAAUAUGUAGAGUUAAGUAGGACUAAUAUUAAUUAAUAGUAGUACUCUAUGAACUUUGACAGUAAAAUAAAAAUCAGAUAGUAAAUUUAACAAAUGAAAUCAAGUAUCUUGGUUCCUCACCAAAUAAAAAGUGGUCCAAACUUUUGUUCUGCAGAUACUCAUAUAUCAACAUCAUUUCUUCACCAUGAAUGCAAAAUCCGAAAAGGUGAACCAGGUUUGUAUGUUGGAGUUCAUAUAUAAGUAUCAGUUCAUUCUUGAAUUCUGAUGUUCCUUGCCCUGAACAUUUCGAAAGCCUCUUCACAGCUAUUUCUUGUCCCGCCGCCAAUUUCCCCUGAAUUGAUAAUCCAUAUCAUGUUUUUGCUGUCAUCUUUAGGCAAAUGAAGCUAAUUCCUUUUUUUUUUCUUACAGCUUUUGAAUUAGAACUUGGGAGCAGCCUCUCCAUAAAUGGGGGUAAGGCUAGCCGACAUUCACCUCUCCCAGACCCUGCGUAAAGCGGGAGCCUUGUGCACUGGGUACGACAGCUUUUGAAUUAGAAGCAGAAAUUUUUUUUUUUCAAAAUGUUACCUUAAACCGGUCCAAACCCUCCUUGUCCUAGCUUGUUUUCUUCAGCAAAGUUGCUUGUGGCAGCCACGAUGGAUGAAUAGCUAAAAACGCUAAAAUCAUGAUGUCGCUUAGAUUUCAUGAAGAUAAUCAUUUCGUUCUCAAUCGUUGUCCGGUUCUCACCUAUACAGAUCAAUUAUAAGAAAUUAAAGUUUCAAUGGAGACAACAAUUGUCAAAGAUGUGAUUAAUAAUCCUGUCUUAUGUUGGAUUAUGUGGCCAAGUGGCCAUAUACUUUAGAUUAAACAAACCAAAGGUGGACAACACCUUUCCUUGUUUUGGGGAGGAAAAUAGGGAAAAGGUUUUUUGUCUUGGUCCAUGGGAAGUCACGGUUGAGGUUUUGAAUAAUAAGUUUUGGUUGUAAUGAGAAGUAAGAGUGGGAUAGAAGAGAAGAAAAUAGAGUGCAGAAAAUUGAGAGAGCCGAAGAGAAGAGAGGGAGAGAAAGAAGGUACUGCUACAGUACCAUUUUCAGAGAAGGGGUUGUUGUUCCUUUCAUUGGAUAAUUCUCACUCCAUCAAAGUGUUAUUGUUGUAAUAGCUUUGAGCUUUGUAUAGAGAAGAAAUUAAUCACUAUAUUUCUUUCUCUAUUUGUUUCUUUGGAGUGUGAGUUAUUGGGUUAUUUGGGUUGUGAGAUUGCCAACACUUUGUAAACUCCCAUUUGGUUGAUAGUGGAUUCUUGGGUGAGCUCCUACUGCUCCGAGGACGUACUCUAGUUACACUGACUGUUGAGGAACCUCGUUAAAAUCUUGGUGUCUUUAAUAUUUUGUUCUUGCAUUUUAUUUGAUAUAUUUCCUGUGGGUUAGCUUGAGUUGGUUCCACAAGGGUUUGGUGCUAUCCUAGCACAACAAUUGGUAUCAGAGCACUGGUUGCUCUUGGGUACUGUCUAGUUGCCAAAAAUGUCAGACGGGCAAGAUGAAAAUCCUUUUGGAAGCAGCUCCGGGUUUGCAAGAACGACGGUGCAAAAUGCAAAGUUCGAAGUGGAAAAGUUUGAUGGCACACAAACAACUUCGGGAUGUGGCAAUGUGAGGUCAAAGAUGUGUUGGCUCAACAAGAUCUACUUGCCGCGUUGGGAGAGAAGCCGGAAACUAUGUCGAAGCCGGAAUGGGAAAAAUUAAAUUUGUGGGCUUGCUCUUCAAUUCGGUUGUGCCUUGCAAAAACUCAGAAGUAUUUUGUGAUGCGGGAGACGGUAGCAAGUGUGUGUUGUGGCAAAAAUUGGAAGACAAGUAUAUGACAAAGAGUGCAGAGAACCGACUACACUUGAAGAAAAAAGCUCUACCGCUUCCAAUACAAAGAAGGUACAAAAAUGAUUAGACACCUUGAUGCUUUUAAUAAGUUGAUUGCCGACUUGUUAAAUUUAGAUGAGGAUAUUAAGGAUGAAGAUAAGGCCUUAAUAUUGUUGAAUUCCUUGCCGGACUCUUAUGAGCAUUUUGUUACAACUAUUAUGCAUGGUAAAGAAACUGUGAAAUUUGAAGAUGUGUCAAAUGCCUUGAUGAAUUAUGAAAUGAGGCAUAGAGAUAAAAAUCAUGAUAGUACCUCUGAAGCUUUAUUUGUUAGAGGUAGAUCAUCGGAGAGGAGGUCAUCUUCUAGCAGGAAAAAAUCACAGUCUCGACCUAGAGGAAACUCUAAAGGUAGAAAACCUUUGGAAAGGGAUGAAUGUGCCUUUUGUCGUAAUAAGGGCCAUUGGAAGAAAGAUUGUCCCAAAUUGAAGACCAAAGGAAAAGAAAGUUCUGAAGCUAAUGUUGCUGAGGUUGAAACAGAUUUUUCUGAUUUUGCUUUAACCACUUCCUCAUCAUUUGAUUGUGCUACUAAGUGGGUGUUGGAUACGGGUUGUACUCAUCAUAUGACUCCUCACAAGGAUUGGUUUUCAAGCUUGAAAGAGUUUUGAUGGUGGCGUUGUGUUCAUGGGAGAUGACAAUCCUUGCACAACAAAAGGGAUUGGUACAGUUCGUUUGAAGUUGCAUGAUGGCAUGGUUAAAGAGUUGACAGGUGUUCGGUAUGUACCGAAUUUGAAGAAAAAUCUUAUUUCUUUGGGUACUUUGGAAUCUAAGGGUUUCAGGUUUCAUUCAGAUGGACAGACAUUGAAAGUUACUUAUGGUGCACUUGUUGUGAUGAAAGCUCCUAGAUGUGGCCAUUUGUAUUUAUUGCAGGGAAGCACUGUGACAGGUGAAGCAUCUGUAGUCUCUGAAAAUAUGGGCACAUCUGAUUCAGAUACUACUAGAUUGUGGCAUAUGAGAUUAGGCCAUGCCGGUGAGAAAGCUCUACAAGGGCUUGUGAAAAAAUGUCUUCUAAAAGGUGCCACGACUUGUAAGCUUGAUUUCUGCGAGCAUUGUGUCUUGGGAAAGCAAACUAGAGUGAAGUUUGGUACUGCUGUACAUCAGACGAAGGGCAUUCUUGAUUAUGUGCAUUCGGAUGUUUGGGGUCCUACAAAGACUCCCCUCUUUGAGUGGUAGACAUUGGUUCGUGACCUUUGUUGAUGAUUAUUCAAGAAGGUCUUGGGUCUACACUAUGAAGCAUAAGAGUGAGGUGUUAAGCAUUUUCUUGGGUUGGAAGAAAAUGGUUGAGAACCAGACUGGGAGAAAGAUUAAGAUUUUGAGAUCGGAUAAUGGUGGUGAAUACACAUCCGAUCCUUUCUUUAAAGUUUGCAAAGAGGAAGGAAUUGUGAGACAUUUCAGUGUUCGGGGAACUCCACAACAAAAAUGGAGUUGCAGAAAGAUUGAAUCGAACCUUGCUUGAGAAAGGUUAGAUGUAUGUUGUCUCAGUCGGGUUUAAGCAAGUCAUUUUGGGCAGAAGCAGUUAAUUAUGCAUGUCACAUCAUCAACCGGUUACCCUCAGCUGCUAUUCAGGGUAAGACACCAAUGGAGGUAUGGACUGGAAAACCUUCUUCUGAUUAUGAUCAUAUUCGUAUUUUUGGUUCACCUGCUUAUUUUCAUGUAACUGAAAAUAAACUUGAUCCUAGAGCCAAAAAGGCUAUCUUUCUUGGUUUUAGUAGUGGUGUCAAAGGUUACAGGUUGUGGUGUCCAGAGAUGAAGAAACUGGUAAUUAGUAGAGAUGUGACAUUUGACGAAGAAAGUAUGUACAAAGUCUCUGAGAAGAAUGUGAAAGAUGUCCAACAGGUGGAGCUUGAGAAAGUUGCUUCUGGUACUUCAAAUCCUAUUUCCGCUGAUGUCGAAGCCACUACAAGUGAAGAAGUUGGAGACCAUGAGGAUGUUGAAGAAGUUGAACUUGAAGAUUCUAUUCAAGUUGAAGAGCAAGUUUCACCUCAAGAGUCUAUUGCCAAGAACAGAGGAAAGAGACAAAUUACUAAGCCAGCUCGGUAUAGUGAUUAUGUUGCUUUUUGCUCUUCCUAUUAUCACUGAAGAGAUUCCAUCCAAUUUUGAGGAAGCUAUUGAGAGUGAGGAGAAGAAUAGGUGGUGCAAUGCCAUGGGUGAUGAGAUGAAUUCUCUCUUGAAGAACAAGACUUGGGAGUUAGCUAAAUUGCCUAAGGGCAAGAAAGCUAUUGGUUGCAAAUGGGUGUAUGCCAAGAAGGAAGAUGCUGAUGAGAAAAGCAAUGUGAGAUUUAAAGCAAGAUUAGUUGCUAAAGGGUAUGCACAAAAGGAGGGCAUUGACUACAAUGAAAUCUUUUCUCCGGUUGUGAAGCACUCCUCAAUUCGCAUUAUGUUAGCUCUUGUUGCACAGUAUGAUCUUGAGCUUGUGCAACUUGAUGUAAAAACGGCUUUCCUACAUGGUGAUUUGAAUGAAGAGAUUUAUAUGUGUCAACCAGAUGGGUAUAUAGUGAAAGGGAAGGAGAAUUUGUUUUGCAAAUUGAAGAAAUCACUUUAUGGUUUGAAGCAAUCUCCAAGGCAAUGGUAUUUGAGGUUUGAUAAAUUUAUGAGAGGCCAAAAUUAUUCUAGAAGUCAAUAUGAUCAUUGUGUGUACUUCAAGAAGUUGCAAGAUGGGUCUUUCAUUUAUUUAUUGAUAUAUGUUGAUGAUAUGUUGAUUGCCUCAAAGAAUGUCGAAGAGAUUGAGAAAUUGAAGAAGCAAAUGAAGAAUGAGUUUGAGAUGAAGGAUCUUGGUGAAGCGAAGAAGAUCCUUGGCAUGGAGAUCACUAGAGAUAGAGCAAAGGGUUUCGUCAGUUUGAAUCAAAAACAAUACCUUGAGAAGUUGAUUCGGAAGUUUGGAGUUCAUGAUUCAACCAAACCGGUUAGUACCCCUUUGGCUCCUCAUUUUAAAUUGAGUUCUCUACAAUGUCCUAAAAUCGAUAAAGAGAAACUGCAAAUGAAAAAUAUACCAUAUGCAAAUUUGGUUGGUAGUUUGAUGUAUGCAAUGGUAUGCUCUAGACCGGAUAUUGCUCAUGCAGUUGGCAUGGUGAGUCGAUAUAUGCAUAAUCCAAGUAAAGAGCAUUGGCAAGCAGCUAAGUGGAUAUUGAGGUAUCUCCAUGGUACUCGAGAUGUUGGUUUAUGCUUUGAGAGGGAUGACUCUGGUAUUGGUCAUUUUGCAGUUGGUUAUGUUGAUUCAGAUUAUGCAGGUGAUCUGGAUGGAAGGAAGUCUACUACAGGCUAUGUGUUUACUAUGGCUAAAGGGCCAGUUUGUUGGAGGUCCAUUUUGCAGUCGUCUGUUGCCUUGUCUACUACAGAGGCUGAAUAUAUGGCAGUUGCUGAAGCUAUAAAGGAGGCCAUUUGGAUACAUGGGCUUAUUAGAGAUUUGGGGGUUGAUCAGAAGCAGGUGGAGGUACAUUGUGAUAGUCAGAGUGCCAUUUAUUUGGCUAAGUAUCAGGUUCAUCAUGCGAGGACCAAGCACAUAGAUGUGCGUUAUCACUUUGUUCGUGAAAUUGUUGGUGAAGGGGAAAUCAUUCUCCAGAAGAUUCCAACUAAAGACAACCCCGCUGAUAUGUUGACUAAGGUUGUUGGUGUAGCCAAGUUUGUUCACUGUUUGAACUUGGCUCACAUUUUGCCUAUAUAAAGAAGGCGUUGAGUAGUAGGAGUUUUGGAGCAUUUGGCUCAGCAUGAGUUGUUCUCUUGCUAGUGUUUGGGAGUGAUGUUGUGUGCUAAUUGUGUUGGUUGGCUUAUCAUGGCGUUUUCGGAACUUGGCCAAGGUGGAGAUUGUUGGAUUAUGUGGCCAAGUGGCCAUAUACUUUAGAUUAAACAAACCAAAGGUGGACAACACCUUUCCUUGUUUUGGGGAGGAAAAUAGGGAAAAGGUUUUUUGUCUUGGUCCAUGGGAAGUCACGGUUGAGGUUUUGAAUAAUAAGUUUUGGUUGUAAUGAGAAGUAAGAGUGGGAUAGAAGAGAAGAAAAUAGAGUGCAGAAAAUUGAGAGAGCCGAAGAGAAGAGAGGGAGAGAAAGAAGGUACUGCUACAGUACCAUUUUCAGAGAAGGGGUUGUUGUUCCUUUCAUUGGAUAAUUCUCACUCCAUCAAAGUGUUAUUGUUGUAAUAGCUUUGAGCUUUGUAUAGAGAAGAAAUUAAUCACUAUAUUUCUUUCUCUAUUUGUUUCUUUGGAGUGUGAGUUAUUGGGUUAUUUGGGUUGUGAGAUUGCCAACACUUUGUAACUCCCAUUUGGUUGAUAGUGGAUUCUUGGGUGAGCUCCUACUGCUCCGAGGACGUACUCCAGUUACACUGACUGUUGAGGAACCUCGUUAAAAUCUUGGUGUCUUUAAUAUUUUGUUCUUGCAUUUUAUUUGAUAUAUUUCCUGUGGGUUAGCUUGAGUUGGUUCCACAAGGGUUUGGUGCUAUCCUAGCACAACAUCUUACUGGUGCACAUGAUUUAAAGAAAUAUACCAGCUGAUGCAAGGGCUGAUCUUCUUCGUUGGAGUAGAUAGUACGCGGUGCAAAGCACUAGAGCAGCAGCUAUAGAAAUGCCAAUCCAAACCCAUUUAUCUGCUGCAUCAUAAACAAUUAGCUAGCAACAUAUGCAAUCAGCGUAACACACACGCACAUGUACGCAUUAAUUGUCUUCAAUUUUUGGAUGAACUAGGUCUUGCAGGUUUCUUCCAGAAAACGAAGAAAAAUCCGAGACAGAGAGCAGAACUUAAGACAACAAUAACAAAGAUAGAGGUACCUAAUAAUACUGAUUCCACGCGUGUCACAGAUUUCCGGCUUAAAUCGGGUUUGCAGCCUCGGUAUAUAUCCUUCGGAUCAAGAAAAGAAAACCCUUUUGGGCAUUCGCAGGUUGGCCUUUUAUCUGGUUUGAGCUUACAGGUACUGUUGUAACCGCAAACACCAACGCCCAGUCGUAGGCAAAUAUCAUCCGGCAUAUACACCAGAGGACUAAUCCAGCUUGCAUUUCCAGUGAAGUAUUUCGGGUGAGAAUAUAAAGCGAAAAUCCCAUCAAAAUCAAGAGUUGCCCUUAUGUAGUUGUCCCUCACCGACACUCCCUCUGUCCCCUUAAGAGGGACUCUUCCAUCAUUUUCUCUCAGAACAGACAUGUCCCCUGAGCUGCUGAACACCAAUUCUUUGCCUUGACUACCUGGCACGUUCCCUGCGGUGGUCUUCGUGGAGAAGUAAGCUUUCUUGGCCUUAUCUGUUGUCAAGUUGACGGAAAUGAGCACGAGGUUUCCAUCAUCUUGCAAGCGCAGCUGGAACCGCCCUUUUGUGUAGUUAGUCUCCGAUUGUCUACACGAAAGCUUCCCAUUUCUCUCAAUUGUCUGUCCAGGCAAAACGGUGUCUGUAGGAUUGCUGAAGGUCUCCCACAAGCUCCCCGAGUUUUGGUGUUGAAGGACAAAGUUUCCGGUGUCAUUCAUGACCCCGUUCGCAACAGUCCCCAAGGUUAUUUCGGAUUUCCAUAUCUCUCCACCCUGAGGAUUGUUAAGAACUAGUCCACUGUUGGCAGUCAAGUUCAGAACUGAUCCCCUAGGUGCAACCAUGGGGUUGUUACCGUCGUAUGCAUACCAAACCACGGUUUUGUCUGGGAUAUUCGCAUACCAUAUCGAAAGCAAGAAAAGAUCAUUGUUUCCGAGGGGCGAAAAUCCAAACUCGAAAUCACCGGAUGGAGAAAGCCAUGAUGAGGAGUCGCCUAUAGUUGCAGUUAGAGAACUCCCAACUGCUACUCUUCCAUUAUUUUGGGAAAUCACAGAAAUUGGUAGCAAAAACAAAGAGAACAAAAGCAUCUCUACAGAAAGAGCCACUGCCAUUGCAAAAGCACCAAUUUUUCAACUUGGCUUAACUGAUUAGCUAUAUUUCUUAGUAAAGCAUUGGUCCUUGUUUAUAUCUUCAAGUAAAUGUGUGUGCAUGUGCCUGUCAUUUUCUAAGUUUUUGCCUGGAAUCAUUUUUUGAAGUCAAUGUUACCCAUCAGCCACGAUAUGACCUCAGACCUCGCUACAUCACACACAAUAAUAUCUCCGGGCCUACAGAAUAAUUUCUCCAAACCUACACAUAUCACAAGAAUUUCACUUUGAAAAAAAUAAUAUAAUGAACAGUUUUAUAUAUAAGACACCGAUACCGAUACUUUUUGUGAUAGAACUUAUUGUCUCUCUCAAUUCCUUGUAAUGUUGCAAGUUGGAGCAAUAUUGAUGUAAUUAGUAAUGGCCCGCUAACUUGCCUCUCUCAAAUCUCUUUUCAUCCUACUCUCGUCCCUCGUCCGUUUUAUGAUUCUACUUAAUUAAGCACUUAUAAGUGUUCCAAAUCAAACUUGUAACUUAAAUAAUUAAAAAUAUUUAUCACUACACUGGGGAUUCUAGGUUCCAAAAUAUAAUAUAUAAUAUAUAUGAAUGUUCCAAACCAAAAGGACAAGUAAAUACGAGCAUGACUCACGCUGCAUGUGUCGGCCAUUCAAGUCCACAAGUCAAAAUUCAACAAUGGGGCCCACAAAGAAAAUUUGAAAAAGUACAUGCAGAUUGAGGACGUAUACAAAGAAUCUGAAAACAAACCUCCAGGACCAAACAAAGACGACUAAGUCUCCAUUUCUGUAUUCACACAAACCAAAGUACUAACUGAAGUUUUUAAUGUAUGAUUACGUCAUUGGGGUAAAACACCCGAGGCCGAGUUGAGAUAAUCACAGGGUUGGGGAAUCGAGAUCCUCUCCGAAUGUCACAGUCUGGCACAAACGAACGUAGAGAUCCGAACCACUUAUUUUAAAUUCUACGGUCUUCAUUAGCCUAUCCUAUUGGCCCACAUCACACAAGGGGCCCAAAUCUUUCUCUCCCCUCUCUUGAACGGUUUGGAUAUCUCGGUCUGUCGAUUUUGGAUUGGGAGAUUCAAAGAGAAUUUGAUUUCGGGUUUGAGGUGUGGUUCGCCGACCAUUUGAAGCUCGUUGAGGCGUGGCCCAUCUCAUCCACGUCGGGAUAGCCAUUUCGUACCAAGUUGGAUCCCAGGUCAGGCCAGUCAUUUCAUUAGCCUAAGAUAGACCUGACAGACGAGGCGCUUGGAUAUUGCCUACCGCGACCAAAUGGACCCAUGGGCUCAUUAGAUGAUGAGUCUGGACCCUGGGGUGUGUAAAGCCCACCUCAGCUCGAUCCAUAUUCGGUCGAUACUUAAGGGAAGGUGGAUAUGGGGUAAAGGUAGAGUAAGCUCCAAGCCAUGUGGAGGUCAGUCGAGAUUGAACACACAUUCAUAGAAUCAUAGUAUGAAAUUCAAGUCCAAAUUUUAACACUACGAAACCGAAAAGCAUGCAACUCCGAAGAGCAUUGUUUCAGUCCAACAACCUAAACUUCCUUAAAAAACUAAGACAAAAACGACGACACUAGUAAACGGAAAAACAUGCAACUCAGAAAACCAUUGCUCUAGUCUAAAUGAGGUUCCUCAAUGCCUCAAGCUUUUCUAAACACCAUAGCCUGAACCUUUUCCUUUGCGCCUUCUUUGCUUCACCAGAAACGUUCUUAAUGAGCUUCCUUCAAAUUUGGGACGAGCAGGCAUUAGGCUGUGCACAAUGCUGUAAAUGCCCCUAGCCCUUGCCACACCCUAGGUGCGUACGCUUGCAUGUCCGACCUGAGUUAUCUCAUUACGCG